GUGCUCAUUUCUACAGCACAUAUACUAAAAUUGGAAUGAUACAGGGAUUAGCAUGGCCCCUUUGUAAGGAUGACAUGCAAAUUCAUGAAGCAUUCCACAUUUAA